rnacentral:lncRNA from 1 species
GUCUUGAAUAAUGAGCAUUCAUAAAAGUAAAGUUAUCCACAAUUUUUACUCUGCUGGUAAAUAAAUCUCUCUAUAUUUCAAAUAGUGAGAGGGAUUCAGAAGCAAGUAAUGGUCACUUACUGAACCCUAGCUACCUCUGCUACAAGUACAUGUAGUAAUAGAUUUCAAACAGAAUUCACAUGUAUUGAUCCAGAGUGAAAAAUGAGCAGACACACAUUAAAAUUGUGCCAAAAGGACACUGACCAAUAUUUGGUUGAAAAAAAUAUCUGAUCAAAUCUUUUAUAAAUGAUCCUAUUUUUAUGCAUGUAGAAAUAUUUUUCAUUGUUUUUAGGCACUCAAGCAAUAAACUUGGAUUACAGUUGUCUUUUUUGAUGAAAUUUAUCACAUGGC